GACAUUUGGUAGAGACUGUUAAAGCCACCUGGUCCCAGCAGACCCCAGAAGGGGCCACAUUUGCUGGCGCUGGGGCAAGGUCAUUAAGGGUGAAGCCUGGUGCCAGAUGUGU
rnacentral:rRNA from 1 species